rnacentral:rRNA from 1 species
AGAACGAACGCUGGCGGCGUGGAUAAGACAUGCAAGUCGAACGAACUUAGUUUUGUAGCAAUACAGGGCUAAGCUAGUGGCGAACGGGUGCGUAACACGUGAGCAAUCUGCCUUAAAGUGGGGGAUAGCUCGCCGAAAGGCGAAUUAAUACCGCAUGUGGUUGUAAAACCAAAGCCGGGGCAACCUGGCGCUUUUAGAGGAGCUCGCGGCCUAUCAGCUUGUUGGUGAGGUAACGGCUCACCAAGGCUUCGACGGGUAGCUGGUCUGAGAGGACGACCAGCCACACUGGAACUGAGACACGGUCCAGACACCUACGGGUGGCAGCAGUCGAGAAUUUUUUCUCAAUGGGGGAAACCCUGAAGGAGCGACGCCGCGUGGAGGAUGAAUGCUUUCGGGUUGUAAACUCCUGUCAUUUGGGAACAAAGCCUUACGUUAACUGCGUGGAGGUUUGAUAGUACCGGAAGAGGAAGAGACGGCUAACUCUGUGCCAGCAGCCGCGGU